CUUAAUGAAGUUUCCUUGUAACACAAAAGCCAAUCAGAUUUUUAAUUGAGAAGCGAUGUGUUCUCUUUCGGACAUACGAGUUUACAGCCCAUCGUUUGCUUACCUCCGUGUGCCAUCGGAACCGUCAUUAUUAUCCUGUGAGCCGAAGCAGCACAAACAGGUUGUCAGAGCAGAUGCUGGUCGGUUGCUGGGUCAUGUGAGCUUCUGAGGACCUGUGAGAGGCUGGGCCCCCAGACCCACAGCCUGGCAUCAGAAGGCAGCACAGCUAGGCUCUUUCCUCCCCCAUAUAUCAGCACCAGAGGGAAGACUCCUGGAAAAGAGGGCAACACCUGUCACAAUAGGCAUGCCACAGUGGCAGGGAUGCAAACACGCCAGUGGAACGGAUGCCCCGCCUGAACAGUACGUGGUCCACAGCCUGCAAAAGUACCCCAGGCCUGACCCUCAACUAGAGAUGUAGUGGAUGAAACCUCCAGGAUGCAGUAAAACAGUGCCCAUCAUUCCAGCAAUCAAGACAAUCUAACUUGAGGAAAAAAACAGUCAAAUGACAGCAACAGUCAGGAUACAAACUUCCAAAAAGCAAAACCGGAUAAGCUCGAAGAAAUCACGACAAGACGUUUCACAACGAAGCCUUUGCGAACCAGAGUCCAAGGAGUGGUCUCGAAAGCAGCGAGAGAGAAAGGACAUGUCACCUGGGGAGGGUUUCCCAUCUGAGGCCGUGGGGGCCAUGAAGAGGCUGCACAGGCUUCCCAAGUGCUGGACGUAGAAGGGCUGGUAGUUGUGGGCACCACAUCCAGGGAACCCAGAGGGAAGUAGGCAUGUGCACGUGUGAAAAGACACUACAGGAAUUGCUUGCAGACGUUUCUGUGAGGACUGGCUUUGUGAUGUGUUAUGUAGCGUUCCUCAGACAGUCGGCAAAUCAAAGGAGAAAGACUCAAGGGGCUUCAUGGAGGAGCAGUGGCGAGACCGGGGGUGUCCACACAACAGGCUUUCUUUUCCUCGAGUUUUACAAAUCAUAUUUGAUGAUUGAAAGAGAAACCAAACUUUUAAGACAAUGUUCUCCAUGGGUGGGGAGGGUACAAGGACAGACGGAAUGGGUGGUGACUGCUUGCUGGACGAUAUCCCAGUGUCUGUGAUGAUGCACCUGCUAUGAAAAGUCCAUGCAAAGACACACGUUUCGCUGUAAAGAUUUGAAGGCAUGUAAACCCAGAUGGAUCCUAAAAUAUGUUCAAGUGCCACAGGAAGGCAACAAGGGUGAACAGAGAAAUGAAAACUGCAGGAACCAAAUAGAAAGCACAUGUAAAGAGAUUGAAGGCUAAUGUGUCAAUAAUUACUUUUAAUGCACGGUCAGACAGACCAAUUAGAAGAUAGGCUGGCAAAAUGGAUCAAAGAGGUGACCUGACUAUAUACUGCUUGUAGGAAACUCACUUCAGGGAAGCCUGGGUAGCUCAGUCAGUUGAGUGUCUGACUCUUGAUUUCGGCUCAGGUCAUGAUUCCAGGGUCAUAGGAUCGAACCCCGUGUCAGGCUCCGUGCUGAGCGUGGGGCCUGCUUGGGAUUCUCUCUUUUCCUAGCUCUUUGCCCCUCCCAUGCUCAUGCUCUCUCUUUCUCUCAAAUAAAAAAAAAAACUCAUUUCAAAUUCAAUGACAGAUGGAGAUAGAAAGUGGAGGGUUAGAGAAGGUGCAUCACAUGCCCAGUGAGUAUGAGUCCCAGUGGCUGUAUUAACAUCUGAGAAAGUAGUCUUUGGAGCAGUAGAAGUUACAAGGGUGCAGAGUGACCCUGCUUAAGUCCUUAAGAGGACCCUGCAGAGUGACGGGUCUUCUUACCCGUCCACGGGAAGGCACAACACCCUAAAAGUGCAGCCUCAAAACUGAUGAAACCACAAUUUUAUUAUGAUCAAUAAUAAUAUCAAUGUUAUUACCAAAUUAUGGUUUAAUUUUCUGCUUUUAAGGGACAUUGGAAUGAUGCCAUUGAAUUUUUAUUUACUUACCUGCCAUCAAAAUCCUUCUAAGGGAUCCGCAUCCCAUUCCCUGUGGUUUUUACGUUCACUGGCGCAUUAUGAUUUUGUUCUGUGUCGAAGACACCACAGAUCCCAAUCCAGAAGUGGGGGUGACAAUGACAAAGUGUUUACCAAUUUUUUCCUUGUGUUUAUGCAAGAAACAAUUUGGAGAGGUGCCUGGGUGGCUCAGUUGGCUAAGCGUCUGACUUCAGCUCAGUCACGAUCUUGUGGUUCAUGAUUUCGAGCCCCACGUCAGGCUCUGUGCUGACAGCUCAGAGCCUGGAGCCUGCUUCAUUCUGGGCCUCCCUCUCUCUCCCUGCUCCUCCCCUGCUUGCACUCCAUCUCUCUCUGUCUCUCAAAAAUGAGCAAAUGUUAAAAAAAAGAAACGGAAACAACUUGGAGAGGUGUA